rnacentral:rRNA from 1 species
GACGAACGCUGGCGGCGUGCUUAACACAUGCAAGUCGAACGAAGUGGCGAACGGGUGAGUAACGCGUAAACAACCUGCCAUCCAGCGGGGCACAACAGUUGGAAACGACUGCACAUACCGCAUACUGAAGGUGGGGAUUGGGUCCGAUUAGCAAGUGGGAGGGGUAACGGCCCACAAAGGCGAUGAUCAGUAGCCGGUCUGAGAGGGUUAGCGGCCACAUUGGGACUGAGACACGGCCCAGACUCCUACGGGAGGCAGCAGUGGGGAAUCUUCCGCAAUGGGCGAAAGCCUGAUCCAGCCAUGCCGCGUGUGUGAAGAAGGUCUUCGGAUUGUAAAGCACUUUAAGUUGGGAGGCGUUACCAACAGAAUAAGCACCGGCUAACUUCGUGCCAGCAGCCGCGGUAAUUC